rnacentral:lncRNA from 1 species
AAAUUCAGCAGCAGGAUUUUUUAUUUCCGGCGAGAAACAUGAAUUCAACAAAAAUAAAUUCAAGGAGAACUAAUCAACACUCUGCAAAUUCAGUAAACAAGAAAAAGAAAACCAAUUCAAGAAAUGCAGCAAAUUCAAGAACAGAAAAACAAAAUCCCUAAUUUAUAUCCCCUUCUAUCCCUCUUCUUUAGUUCCUAAAUUCCAGACAAGAUUCGCCACUCACCACCACUUCUGAGAAAAAUAGAGUAGGAGAGGCGAAGCACCAUGAAUGGUGGAGGAGAGAAGAGGCGACUUGACGGCGAGAGGCGGCGUGAGAAGAGGGGCAAGAGGCGGAGGGCGCUCUCCGCUGUCACUACAACGAGUCCGACAAGCCCUAAUUUCUGGGGGAGCGGAUUUACAGAGGGGGAAGGGGGGAGGCGGCGGCCGCGGAACAGAUGGGGAAGAGGGAGGCGGCGCCCGCGGAACAGAGGGGAAGCGGAUUUACAGAUGGGGAAAGUGGGAGGCGGCGCCGGUGGAACAGAGGGGAAGCAGAUUUACAGAUGGGAAAGGGGGGAGGCGGCGCCGGCGGAACAGAGGGGCAGCGGCGCCG